AGCGAACGCUGGCGGCAGGCUUAACACAUGCAAGUCGAGCGGGCAUCCUUGUGGUGUCAGCGGCAGACGGGUGAGUAACGCGUGGGAACGUGCCCUUCGGUUCGGAAUAACUCAGGGAAACUUGAGCUAAUACCGGAUACGUGCGAGAGCAGAAAGGUUUAUCUGCCGAAGGAUCGGCCCGCGUCUGAUUAGCUAGUUGGUGAGGUUAUGGCUCACCAAGGCGACGAUCAGUAGCUGGUCUGAGAGGAUGAUCAGCCACACUGGGACUGAGACACGGCCCGAACACCGAGGGGGGGCAGCAGGGGGGAAAAAUGGACAUGGGGGGCACCCCCUAGCCGCCCCGGCCGGGUGGGAGGUGACGGCGUUAGGGUUGAAAGCGUUUUUUUCCGGGGAGGAAAAGGGCGGAACCGGAGAAAAAAGCCCCGGCAACCUCCGG
rnacentral:rRNA from 1 species